rnacentral:rRNA from 1 species
UACGUAGGGGGGCAAGCGUUGUCCGGAUUUAUUGGGCGUAAAGAGCUCGUAGGCGGUCUGGUAAGUCGGUUGUGAAAGUCGGGGGCUCAACCCUCGGAUGCCGAUCGAUACUGUCAGGCUAGAGUCCGGAAGAGGCGAGUGGAAUUCCUGGUGUAGCGGUGAAAUGCGCAGAUAUCAGGAGGAACACCGGUGGCGAAGGCGGGUCGCUGGGCCGAUACUGACGCUGAGGAGCGAAAGCGUGGGGAGCGAACAGGAUUG